rnacentral:rRNA from 1 species
UACAGAGGGUGCAAGCGUUAAUCGGAAUUACUGGGCGUAAAGCGUGCGUAGACGGUUAUGUAAGUCGGGUGUGAAGCCCCGGGCUCAACCUGGGAAUGCCAUUCGAGACUGCAUAGCUAGGGUGCGGAAGAGGGAAGCGGAAUUUCCGGUGUGAGCGGUGAAAUGCGCAGAUAUCAGGAGGAACACCGGUGGCGAAGGCGGUUCUCUGGGCCUGUACUGACGCUGAGGAACGAAAGCGUGGGGAGCGAACAGGAUUAGAUACCCCGUGGUAG